CUCUUCCUCUUCUCCCGCACUCGCGCCUCUCCUCUUCCUCCACGCCAUGGCUCCCCGCCCUCUUCCUCGCGCCGCCAUCUCUGCCUCCUCCCCUCCGGCCGCCACCUCUGCCUCCUCCCCCUCGUGCCGCUCCUCCUCCUACUGUAGGAUCCCAUCCCCCUCACACCCUUCCUCCUCCCCUCCUGUCAUUCCCCUCCCCUAACCCUAGAACUGACGAGGAGUCCGAGCCGCCGUCUGCUGCCGGCCCAAGGUCACCGAGGGGCACGGGCCACGACUCGCGCGGCCGCUGCACCCUGGCGUCGAGCCGCCAUCUGCUGCCGGCCAGAGGUCACCGAGGGGCACGGGCCACGACUCGCGCGGCCGCUGCACCCUGGCGUCGGGCCGCCAUCUACUGCCGGCCAGAGGUCAUCGAGGGGCACGGGCCACGACUCGCCCGGCCGCUGCACCCUGGCGACGCAGGGCCAAAGUUGACGGCUGCGCUUCAUCAUCACCCGAGAGGAGCUGCUACUGCUGCUGCUCGCCAUCAUCGGGAGGCUAGGACGCUGCUGCUGCUCCGCUCAUGGACAUGGAGCCUUCGUCCCUGCUCGCCAAGGUGAGCUCUCGCCCAUAUCCCAUCCUCCUAUUCUUCUUUUUCUCCUUCUCUGACCCCCGUCUCGUCUUCUCUCUGUUUUGUUGGUACAACGGCUAACGACGGCAACGCAUACAUCCAAGGGAAGCUUCGGCAAGGUCUGCACCUUCUUCACCCGUAGAGGAGCCUGCCAGAACACGCACCAUGGAAUUGGAAGAGGAGAGGAGAGGAGCGCAAAUGAAUUAAUGAAAGCAGAGGAAUUUAUUUCAAACCACAAGGUCCUUGAGUCAAAACAAAGCAAGAUUUACAGCUUCCCGCAGGAUUCAGUUCGCUACAACACUGUUGCCAUCAUUGUUGUGAUGAGCGCCUUGGCGCUGCUGCUUCCGUGUGGCGGUGCUGUUCAACGUCCGCUACAAAACCAACCAGGAUUGAGAACUACAAUCAACCCUAUAUCAGUGCUUUGUAUGAGUAUGAUGAUGGGAAAGACCUUAAUAUGAUUUUGAGGCUGACUGGUUUAGUUCUCCUUAUGAUGAUGUAAAAGAAAGCUUGCGUAUAGGCUCUGUAUUGUCAGAGAUAAAUAUGCGGAGGUGCCACAAUAAUUACUUUAUGUUACUUUAUUUCCAUGAACUUUUGUUACAGAAGAUUAAGCAUAUCUAUUGCAUUUAAUAGUGAACAUUCUAAAUAUGGCGACAUCCUGAUCAUUAGCCCUCGAAAUGAAUGGCUUCAAUGGGUGCAUGUGUGGCCAGGGGAUGGUCUGGUCCAUGCCUGGAAGAUAGGCUGAUUAGUUUUAGUUUUUUUUACUUGGUUUGGUUUGUUGUGCAUGCCAAUUGUUCAAUCUAGGAGAAUUUGUGAGUUCUGAUUCCAGCUGUUAGUUGGUUGGUCUGUAUAUGUUUUCUAAUAUAUGAAUCAUCUGCAGCAAGAACUAGGUAAUUACUUGGCUUACCAUGUCCCCAAUUUCCCCAAUUUCUAUUUGCCAAUCUUUUUAACACCUGCCCCAAGUGGUGGUUGAUGGGUCGAGAAAAUAAAUAAAUGCAUUCGAGUUCUCAUAUUUUUCUUCAGUAUUUGCUUACCAAAAUGAAUAUUUCAGCAAUGCUUUGAAAAUACCAUUCAAAUUUGUAGUCAAGCCAUGCUUUCUAUGAUUAUAAAAAGAUGACUUUGUUGGUUUUGUGUUUACAUAGAAAGAUCAAUGCCGAGAAGUUUAUUAUCCUAUUUGUUGAGUCAAUGAGAAAAUAUUACUUUUUACAUACUUAAUCUUAUAGUCUAUUUUCUCACGAGCAUGACACAAUAUGUACCAAGCCAAACCACUACUUGCAUACCGGAGAAACUUACAUGAUGUUGUAUGUGUGAAGUCAAUAUAUAUUGAUUGAUCCAGAGUCUGAGAUAGCAGGCUAAGAAGUAUGAUUACAUCAUUGUUAUCGCUCUAUUUAUGCCAUCACUUCAUGGUUUUUGGACUAUACACUUCAUGUUAGCCUCUUCAGAGCAUUGCCAUCACUUCAUGCAGGUAUGACGAGGAUUCAUCGUAAGGAAAGUUAGUCUGGCCUCAGAUUUUACAUGGUCUGAUGCCUAAACACCAAUGGAAUUGUUCAAGUCGUGCCCAGCGACGAUCAUUGCAGGCUCCAUUUGUUCCAUACCUGAUAGACAGCGAGCACGACUGACUUAAAAUUUCUAGUUCACUUUUCUGUUUCAAACAGGGCCCAGUGGUGCUAGAGGAGGCGUCGUUCUACUACAAAGCUCCGGUCAACAAGAACUUCUCCAAGAAAGGCCUAACCUCGCCAAACUUUGCUACACUUCACAUCAUGAGGGAACAAAGCAGAUGCGUCCAUCGCAAUACUCAAGCAAAUCAGAUGACAAGGUGUUUGGAGCAAGCUAAUCAUAGCCAACUACAUAGUUUAGUACUAUGUUGUAUUAAAGCAGUGUAAACAACUUAUAUGGCCUGCUUUUGGUAUAUCGUAUCAAACUUUGAUCUUUAGGUAUUUCAUGCUACAUUUUUUAACAAAUGCACCAAUGGUUUGUAACGAGAUUUGAUGUUUUGCAUUGGACCAUUACUGCUGUAAGUAAAUAUUAUCUUCUUCUUUUU